rnacentral:rRNA from 1 species
GCCUAGACCUAGCCCAACCACAUACAAUUAACUACUUAAUUACUAUAAAAAUCCACCUCACCACUAAACUAAAGCAUUAUUUAAACUUAGUAUAGGUGAUAGAAAAGGUCAACCCAUUGGCGCUAUAGAGAGUAGUACCGCAAGGGAAAGAGUGAAAUAACAAUGAAAAUACAAGCAGUAAACAGCAAAGAUUAAUCCUUGUACCUUUUGCAUUAUGAUUUAGCAAGAACAACCGAGCAAAAUGUAUUUAAGCUUGUCUUCCCGAAACCCAAGCGAGCUACUCACAGGCAGCUAUCCUUUGAGCGAAUCCGUCUCUGUUGCAAAAGAGUGGAACGACCUGUUAGUAGAGGUGAAAAGCCAACCGAGCUGGGUGAUAGCUGGUUGCCCGCGAAACGAAUCUAAGUUCUACCUUGACUUCCCCCAUCAAUGAACACUGACCAUUAACCGUGGAAAAUCAAGAGCAAUUUAAAGGGGGUACAGCCCCUUUAAAAAAGAAUACAACCUACCCUAGCGGAUAAACCCUCCUUUUUUCCCCUGUAGGCCUUAAAGCAGCCACCAAUAAAGAACGCGUCAAAGCUCACUUACCUAAAAAAAUCUAAAAACACCGUGAUUCCCUUACCCCUAACGGGCCAAUCUAUCUCCAUAGAAGAAUCAAUGCUAAAAUGAGUAACUUGGAGCCCCGCCCCUCUCUAGCGCAAGCUUACAUCCAUCCAAUUAUUAACAGACAAACUGAUAUCACAAACCUAACAAGCCCAAAUAUCAUUUCACCCUGUUACCCCCAACACCGGAGCGCAAUCAAGAAAGAUUAAAAUCUGUAAAAGGAACUAGGCAAACCCGGGGCCCGACUGUUUACCAAAAACAUAGCCUUCAGCUUAACCAAGUAUUGAAGGUGAUGCCUGCCCAGUGACCUACGUUUAACGGCCGCGGUAUCCUAACCGUGCAAAGGUAGCGCAAUCAAUUGUCCCAUAAAUCGAGACUUGUAUGAACGGCUAAACGAGGUCCCAACUGUCUCUUACAGAUAAUCAGUGAAAUUGAUCUUCCUGUGCAAAAGCAGGAAUAAACUCAUAAGACGAGAAGACCCUGUGGAACUUUAAAAUCAGCAACCACCCCACAAACAACUAUUAAGCCUACUAAGGCUCACUACCCAAAUAAACGCUGGUCUGCAUUUUUCGGUUGGGGCGACCUUGGAGAAAAACAAAUCCUCCAAAAAUAAGACCACACCUCUUAACAAAGAGAUACACCUCCACGUGCAAACAGCAACCAGACCCAAUACAAUUGAUUAAUGGACCAAGCUACCCCAGGGAUAACAGCGCAAUCUCCUUCAAGAGCCCAUAUCGACAAGGAGGUUUACGACCUCGAUGUUGGAUCAGGACAUCCUAAUGGUGCAGCCGCUAUUAAGGGUUCGUUUGUUCAACGAUUAAUAGUCCUACGUGAUCUGAGUUCAGACCGGAGCAAUCCAGGUCGGUUUCUAUCUAUGUUGAACUUCCCCCAGUACGAAAGGACCGGGAAAGUAAGGCCAAUGCUCCAAGCACGCCUUUCCUCUAAGUAAUGAAUUCAACUAAAUUACCAAAAGGACAUUCACCCCUAAUCACCCUAGAUGUAGGGUCA